UACGGAGGGAGCUAGCGUUAUUCGGAAUUACUGGGCGUAAAGCGCACGUAGGCGGCUUUGUAAGUCAGAGGUGAAAGCCUGGAGCUCAACUCCGGAACUGCCUUUAAGACUGCAUCGCUAGAAUUGUGGAGAGGUGAGUGGAAUUCCGAGUGUAGAGGUGAAAUUCGUAGAUAUUCGGAAGAACACCAGUGGCGAAGGCGACUCACUGGACACAUAUUGACGCUGAGGUGCGAAAAGCGUGGGGAGCGAACAGG
rnacentral:rRNA from 1 species